GCCAGGCUAAGGGGAGGUCACACCACUCCCUUCCUCCAGUGUGACGGAUAUCCUGUCAUCCGUGUGCACAUGCAUGAACUCAAAGCACCUGUGGCCACCAGGUGACGCUGGUUCUCUGUGUUUCCCUUCUGGCUUCCCUGUGAGGACAGAAGGUAUCGCAAGACAGGGAGUCCAGAGAUACUACCACCCUCCUGGCCAGUAAGGGCAGAGAUCCAGGAAUCCCCACCCCUCCUUUUUGCCCAAAGUUUAGGAAGAAAAGUGAAUAAUUAGACACUUAUUAUUCAUGAGAUAUGUACUGUCUACCUAGCUGGGGUGGGGGGAAAAGAGUGGGCACUGUGGAUAGAAUGUGAGUCAUGUUGAUGGUGACACUGCUCUGGCUGCAUGUAUCCCUUCCCUGCCCAUAAGUCCAUGGUUUGAGAGAACAAUGUCCAGAGAGAAGAUGAGAGCAGAAAGAACCAUAGUCAGAGUAGACAAAUUGAUACCCUCACGUUCAACACACCUCCAGGGCCCAAGAGUCCUGCUUCCUAAUAAGCAACAUGUAUUUUUGAGUGUCCUCCUUCCACAAAAAUCACAGCAGCCUGUACUGAAUCAAGUUCAGGUGACUGAGCUGGGGGUCCAGACAGGUAGGGGUGAACAGCAAGACCAAU
rnacentral:lncRNA from 1 species